rnacentral:rRNA from 1 species
AUUGAACGCUGGCGGCAGGCCUAACACAUGCAAGUCGAACGGUAACAGGAAACAGCUUGCUGUUUCGCUGACGAGUGGCGGACGGGUGAGUAAUGUCUGGGAAACUGCCUGAUGGAGGGGGAUAACUACUGGAAACGGUAGCUAAUACCGCAUAACGUCGCAAGACCAAAGAGGGGGACCUUCGGGCCUCUUGCCAUCGGAUGUGCCCAGAUGGGAUUAGCUAGUAGGUGGGGUAACGGCUCACCUAGGCGACGAUCCCUAGCUGGUCUGAGAGGAUGACCAGCCACACUGGAACUGAGACACGGUCCAGACUCCUACGGGAGGCAGCAGUGGGAAAUAUUGCACAAUGGGCGCAAGCCUGAUGCAGCCAUGCCGCGUGUAUGAAGAAGGCCUUCGGGUUGUAAAGUACUUUCAGCGGGGAGGAAGGGAGUAAAGUUAAUACCUUUACUCAUUGACGUUACCCGCAGAAGAAGCACCGGCUAACUCCGUG